UGAUACCAGGGUCAAAAGGUCAGAAAGCCGAUGCAAGCUUGCUUGCAAGAGGAUUUUUGACCUCUUGACCCGCCAAAAACAUGAGUAAGUAGCCAUUUUUCAAAGAAAAAUGAGCGGAUUACGAAUGUUUUUGAGGAUUGCGGGAAUUGCAAGACAGUCCAAAAAAUCU
rnacentral:sRNA from 1 species